CAGUACCGUAUCCCCCCAAGUACGAACCAUCGGCUCUGAUACCACAUGUUGUACAUGGAAUGCGGAAUCAAGCGCACUAAAUAAUUACUUGUUGUGCGUGGAAUGCGGAAUCAAGCGCACCAAAUAAUUACUGAAAAAUAAAGGACACAAGAAUUUACGUGGUUCGGUAAUUAAACCUACAUCCACGGAGGCAAGAAAGAAUAAUUGUUUAUUUAACAAUUAAUAGAGUACAAUAUUUGAGUAACGAAUCUCACUUCCUAGAAACCCAAAUAUACCCAGUACUCUCACACUUUGCAGGAAAGAGAAAUUCCCCAGACACACUUCUCUCACUUCUCUCAAAAGCUUAGAAACUUAUAAGCUUAACAAUUUUGGGAUGAUAUCAAAUGAAUGAAAUCCUUAGCUAUUUAUAGGAGAAAUGAAU
rnacentral:lncRNA from 1 species